AGAUACGAGGAAAUAAAAAGGGGCAAGUGUCCGGAACCUCGAAAGAAAAGAAAAAGUGAGACGAGAGGUAAAAAUGGACAAGUGUCUGACAGUAGAAUUAGGGGUACAAGAUACCCACCUGAGAGAAAAGAAAAAGAAAAUAUAGAGCAUCUCAUUCUCCUCAAAAAGUUUCAAAAGAGCAAGAAAGGUAUGUAUCCCUCAAAAGAGCACAAGUAGAAUUAGACUUUCACCAUUGUUAUCACCAUCAUCACCAUACACCAUUCAUUCGCCACACAUGCACAUCUUGAUUUGACUUAUUGACUUGUUCUUCUGGAUCCAUGGUUUGACUAUGCAAUAAAUGUCUUGUAAGUAUGUAUUAGCUGUCUCCCACCUAUGAGCUCCAGAUAUUAAAACCUCAUUAGAGUAGGGUGAGAGAGAACGUAAUGCCAUUAUGCCUCAUACCAAAAAUACCACAUACUUUGAGAGAAGGCAUACACUAUUAUUGCCUUGGUAAGGAUCCAGAAAUACCACAAAAGGGAAACUAGAGAGAGUCAUACAAGGAAUCUAUGAGUUUUAUUUGAAAAACUACAAAAACUCCAAAGCUAUAGUUAAUCGAAGAACAAGAUUCAUGGCGCUUGACUAGACCGUUCUAUCUUUUAACUGCUCAAGACACAAGUGACGGUUGCAAGCCCCAUGGUGGAAGGAAAAAUGAGUAAGUUUAAAUCUUAACAGUUUACCCUAACCUAGAGAUGAGAUCUUGUUUGAACGCAUGUAUAUCUUUAAGGCAUGAAACCACUGUAGAAACUCUUGAGUUCAUCUUUGCUCAGAGAUGAGCAAAGGUUAAGCUUGGGGGAGCUUGUUGACGGUCCUUAAUGCUAACAUUUAACCAUCAACUAAUCAUGGAAAAGGAUCCAAAUGCAACCAACACCCAGACUUAGGGUUUAUCUAACAGAAUUCCACGAGUUUUGGUAUUUGUCUAUUUCUGCAGGGGGUUAUCAGGAAAUAUGGAGGAAAGGUCCACACGUCGGGUUUACAUAGAGAUAUUAACGUAUCGCGCAAUUUUCUAUCAUCCAGAAGACUCCAGAAGCCACAGGAACGAACGGGAAGGCGAUCGGGCUCGGGGGCAGGGCGCCCGCCCUCCCCCCUAGGGCGCCUGCCCUGGUGUCUCCACCAAUCAUGUUCAAUCUCGCGGAUUAUGCUCCACCGACCUAAAGGAUCAAGGAUAACCGUUCAAUCAAUAUCGGUUUGAUCCGACAACCCAGAUUAACCUGAGGGGACUACAUAAGCAGACCCCACCAGCCCCUAGAGGCAUACCUCUUCUACAGAAUCAAAGCUAGGGUUUCAAUUCUUCAUCCAAGUAGAGAAGAUCCCUCUAGUUCAUCUAGUUCUAGUUCUCGUUCCUCUAGUUCUAGUUCUAGUUAGUUCUAGUUGUAAUCUAGAAAAUAGGGAGAGAGAAGAGGAGAGCGAAGGAGGAGCCGGGUUUGUCGGAUCGUCCUCAACAUUGUACUUUUACAGCAACUGGUUCGUUCUUCAUCGUUCUCCAGGUUCUUCAAUUCAUAAUUCCUGAGUUCUUUAAUUACUUUUAUUUACAUUCAAGUUAUUUAUUGGAUUCCCGCUUGCAUCAAGUGCUCUAGUCUUUAUAACGCUAGAGUAGUAAUUAAUAGAUUAGACGUGGUGUUUAGUCUUGCAAUUACCUGGAAUUGCACCCAAUCUUGCGGAUUGUUGUGGUAGCCCUAGUGACAGCCCUAACGGUCGACGUAUUCCACCUCGUUCGGAUCGGUGUUUGUAGGACCGUAGUCAGAGUCCUAGCCCCCUUCUCAUCUCUUUCUGUGGUUAGUGUUCUGAUGUCCCGAGAUAAAUAAUCUUUCAAGUAAUUCUUGAUUCUUAGAUCAAAUAGAGAACUCUCAGGAAACUUCCUCUCAUCCUACCAAAAAUAAUUAUAUAGUUAUCCUUGGGCGAUCUUGAAUCUUAAUUAGUACACUCACGUUCCCUGUGGAAAAUCGAUACUCUGGAAUACUCCCGGGUGAAGGCUACAUCGGUAUCCAUGCUUGCAGAUUUUUCUGUUUGCUUUUAAAAUACCCAACAGUAUUGAGCAUAUAAAGAUAAUUAUAGAAAUAUUCCUUCGGGUAUUCGUGUCACUAACCUUUCUAGGAUUGGAGCAAGAAGAUCCGAGGAAUGACAAGCGCAAGGUAUGCCCAACCAAUCAUCAUGCAACAUUGAAUUAAAUUCAUCCAAAUUCAAGCUUGAGGGAAAUACCUUACAUAAGAACAUCCUUUGCCAUGUUGCUAUGUUGGUUGUCCCUACUUUUGAGGCAUGCUCAGUUUUUCUAAACACUAAACUUAUUUUUCAUCUCCACCUGAGUAGAUCUCUAUAAAUGUUGUCAUGCUACCUUUGUCUAUUGACAAGCAAAUGUUGGUUUGGAAGUACUCGACAUACUUCCAUUGGCAUUUAAAUUAAACAUGGUGCUUAGGUUAAAUAGCCUUCCUUAAUCUGAUUAGACAUGGAGUCUAGUUUGGUUACUGAACUAAAAACUGCUUGAGUAGACAUUGGUAUAUUUUGUCGGACUAACCCCUGCAGGAAAACUUUCAAUAUCAACCUAGGAAGUCCUGAGAUACAAACUCACAUUGGAGACAAAGGAGACACAUGAAGUUUAACGAUUUGCACAAGGAAGACAUAGCUCAUUCAUCAUAGAGAGAUGAUCCAUGGAACAAGACAAAGAGUGCCACAAACACGGUGCACAAUCACUAAGAAAGGAAAGCUUCCACAAGGUGAUACUAUACCAUCAAUCUUAAAGUAAGGUAACAUCUUAAGGUACAUGACUAUCACUUUUAUAAGCUUCUCCUUGGUUCUGGUGUUCACAUGAAUAAAGAGACAAACAUAAAUUAACCAACCCAAUUAAUUCAACAUGUUUAGUCCUUUAAUCUUUGUUCUUAGUACUACCUUCGUGAUCCCACACUCCUAAUCAUAUAAGCUAAAAUGUUCUUUGGAAGAUAUAAAAAACAUAAAUAUAGAUAGAUUAUCUUUCCAUUAGGUCGAGCGAUCUGAUCUGACAAAUGUUUUAAAUGCUACACUCAUGAUCUUAUUAUCCAUCAACUUUGUCUUUCUCACUAUGCUCAAGGUUAGAGAAGAACAAAUACACUUUUGGUUCUGUUGGUGUUUUUCACCAACAGGGCCCAUGCACUUGAUCUUUACCUUGUCUCUAUGAACAAGUACACUUCGAGCAAAACCUAAAGGAGUUUUACAACUCCCAGAUUCCACCAAGUGAAGGACUUGGAUCUACGAGCACAAACACACUGAGCAGGAUGCUGCCAAUGCCGCACCUCGAACUGCUGGACAAACGAAGAACAUGGGUGACACCGUAUCAAGAGGUGCAGAUGUCAAGGCCCACACCUAAUCAAAUGAUGCACCUAAAGGAUGAACACGGUGAGAAGUCUUGUCGAGAAGACUUAAAACAUUGGAUCCUUGCCGGAAGGUAAAAUCGGUAUUUAUCCAUAUUUAUCUUUUCUGCAUUCCUUUUCCUUUUUAUUCCAUCACUUGCAUUAGCAUAUAUACUUUUCCACAUUAGCAUUAGAAAAGAAAAUAACAAUAUUUGUUCGUUGCACUGCAUCAUAAAAUCUAAAGCCCCAUGUGAGUAGACUUGUUGUUUAAAACCCAUAGGUAUAUUGACUGUCGUGGCAUAAAAUAAAUAUGUUUUCAUCUUACAAUAAAAAUAUAAAAAUAAUAAGUGCAUGAUUCUGCUAAAUAAAUAAAAUUUAUUAGGAGGAACCUCAAUGUGAUAAAGGCUAAGAGAUUUUAUGCUAACACUUAACCAGUUCCACAAAGCUUUGUUGUCUAUUUGAGCUCCACAGAAUUCAAAGAAGACUAGCCGGCGGAGGACAUAGUAAUCGCUGUCAGGGUGCUACCGACAUUCAAAUACACCUCCGCCACCUGCUAGCUACAUCAUAAGAAAUUACGUCAAAAUCCAGCUUAGGGAAGAGCACCCCCAUUUAUCCAGCUAAGUGUUUCUACUCGCGUUUAUACUUUACUCAAAUAAUAAAAAGAUGCAUAAUCAUGAAAACCCAAAUAAAAUUUUUUGUGCUUAUAUAUAUCUUUGCUCAGUUUGCUAAAUAAAUAAAUAAAGUGUCUAGGCCAAACUGAACUUAAAUGAUAAACUCUUACAUGGAUAUGAUAAAUAGUUGCUCUGCCAUGUACCUAGUUUUCACAUAACUGUUAUAAUUUUAAACCUGCUCUAAACCUAAACUUGUGGGAAGAGUACUUGAUCUAAAGUCUAAGUCGUUAACAGAUAUGAUAUGGAAAGGUUGAGCUGCUGUUUAUCUGUUCCUAGAGUUGCUAGAAUUUUGGAGAAUAUUAUUUUUGAAAAUCUUUAAAAUAUUGAAUGAUGAGUUUCUGUAUGAUAAGAGUUUAAAUUCCUACCAUAGCCAUACAUACAUGCUUAUUAGACUAAGAACCAUACAUUUACUUUUUACUGCUUAUGAGCAUUGAGUGUGGUCAAGCUGUGUAGACCCUUAGGAGCUUGUCAUACGGUUAAAAUCAAGAUUCACUUGCACGUUCACUCACACAUGCUACUUCUACUCCGGAAGUACGCAUCCACAUACAUCCACUCACUUCCAUCUCCAAAUUCACCUAAAAUUAUUCUACUCCUAUCCAAAAGAGAAUAGCCAAAAAUAUUUUCCUAUCCCUGUUAUUCCCUUGAAGUAAAUGCUACAGCUAUUUUGGUUACUACCAAUUGCUACAUUAUUCCAGGAGGGUGAGUACUCUAAAAAAAUGAAUGAAUACGAGGAAAUAAAAAGGGGCAAGUGCCCAGAACCUCGAAGAAAAGAAAAAGUGAGACGAGAGGUAAAAAUGGACAAGUGUCCGAUAGUAGAAUUAGGGGUACAAGAUACCCGCCUGAGAGAAAAGAAAAAGAAAAUAUAGAGCAUCUCAUUCUCCUUAAAAAAACUUCAAAGUGCAAGAAAGGUAUGUAUCCCCUAAAAAGAGCAAAAGUAGAAUUAGACUUUCACCAUUGUUAUCACCAUACACCAUUCAUUCGCCACACAUGCACAUCUUGAUUUGACUUAUUGACUUGUUUCUGUGGAUCCAUGGUUUGACUAUGCAAUAAAUGUCUUGUAAGUAUGUAUGCUUUAUCUCCCACCUAUGAGCUCCAGAUAUCAAAACCUUAUUAGAGUAGGGUG
rnacentral:lncRNA from 1 species